UCUCUCCACUAUAUGAUAAUGUGUCUGAUAGUGAGGAGCUCUGCUUCUGGGUCUGGUGGAAACGGAGACGUUAAUAGGGUUUCUCCCAAUCCAAGGCUCCAAGCAAACUCCUUAUGCAAGAGGUGACUAGAGCUGAGUAUGGAAGGUUUUGAGGCUUUUAUAAAGUAUGGUCCUCUCAAAGUUGAUGUGAUAAGAGAGCUUUGUUAUGUUGUGUCCAUUAGCUUCUCUCUUGAAAGAGCUUGUUAUGUAACUUGUUAGCUACGGAAAGGAAAUAGUAGAGGAAGAUGACAUCCAAAGACUGCAUUUAAGACAAUAUCUAAGGUGUUGUUUUGGGAAAAUAGCAAAGGGAAAUCCAUAGAUUGAAACUCAGGGUAUCUGAAAUAUAUUACCACAAUCUUUAGAGUACGUAAGGUCUUUCUUUAUCAAUCUUUGUAAGUGCAUGUUUUUUCUUUGGGUUCCUGGUUGUUUAGCUAUCGAUAUUUUUAGCUCACAGAACCAAAAGAAAGACUUAAAGAUUGGCUUGACGCUGUCACAACUGCUCGCUUUCCCUGUGCUGUUGUCUUAAAUCUAGAUCGGUAAAACAUGAUCAAUGUUCUUUGAACGGAUGGGACUUCAAAAGUACUUCCAGGCCCAGUAAUAGCUUUAGGGAAUCAUCUUGAUUACUUUCUGUAGAUAAAUUGUUAUAUCUGCUGAUACUUGUAUUCAUUCUCCGUUUCAAAGUUAACGCCAAGUUCUUGUCGUUAUGGUUUAUAUGUAUUUGGUACUAGGCAGGAACCGGAUCCAUCUAGUGGGAUUCCAAACUUAUAUUUUCCCUUUUCUCUGGUG